rnacentral:rRNA from 1 species
UUUAACGGCCGCGGUAUCCUAACCGUGCGAAGGUAGCGCAAUCAAUUGUCCCAUAAAUCGAGACCUGUAUGAAUGGCUAAACGAGGCCUUAACUGUCUCCUACAGAAAAUCAGUGAAAUUGAUCUCCCCGUGACAAAGCGAGAAUGUACCCAUAAGACGAGAAGACCCUGUGGAACUUAAAAAUCAACGGCCACCGCACGCAACCCCAAAGCCAAAUAGGCUCACACGACCACUAACGCUGGCCUAUAUUUUUUUGGUUGGGGCGACCUUGGAGAAAAACAAAUCCUCCAAACCCAAGAGCACACCUCUUAACUAAGAACAACCCUUCAAAGUGCCAAUAGUGACCAGACCCAAGAUAACUUGAUCAAUGGACCAAGCUACCCCAGGGAUAACAGCGCAAUCCCCCCCAAGAGCCCAUAUCGACGGGGGGGUUUACGACCUCGAUGUUGGAUCAGGACACCCUAAUGGUGCAGCCGCUAUUAA